UUGCGUAAUACGCGGUAUUGAUUACCUUGCAUAAAAUGUAAUGGCCCCUACCAUCGAGCCCUGCCUUGGAGAUCAGCUCGGUCAUCCGACGAGGCAGUCUGGUGGAGGAACUCCUCUGCGGAAAUCAUCCUUUCAAUAAUUUUUGAUCGAGUAAUACGCAAAAAUAUACCAGGUUAAACGAAGGCGAAAGCAGUUUCAAUAGCUUAGAAAUAUUGCAAAGCUGCAGAAUUGACUGCUAUCUGAAUUGUAAUUACUUCCAAAGAAAAUAUGUGAAUUUCAACUACGCUGCAUGAUAAUUAAAUAUUCCGGAUCCGAAAUGAAACACAUUUAUUUUGGCAGUCCUUGCUCUUCCGCAUAUCCGACGAUAGGUCAUUUAUGGAUAGCAUGAAUAUCUGACCAUCAAACAGAUCAGGAAAUGAAAACGUUUUCCUUUUUAAUCUUAUAUUUAAAUGGUCGAUCAAUCAAUGUUCUAUUUAUCGAAUGAUUUUAUGAUGACGACGCGAGUAUUUCUAUUGAUGAGAGGGACAUUAGGUCUCUUAACUGUAUCUAUCCUUCAUAUUGUAUUAUUGUAUAUAAAUCAAGAAGCUAUAUAUUUAUUAACUAAUGUAAUGAAAAAUAUUAUAUAUAUGGGAAGCAAGAUGCUCCAUGAAAGAGAGGAGAUCAUAAAAGCAGAGGAUGAAGCUGAUGCUGCUCACGAAUUUAUUACAAAUCUUCCAAAUGAUCUCGUAGGCAAGUUAGUGAGAGAAUCACCUAAUUAUCUGGUUUAUGGAAACAACAUGUUUCUAUUGCUAGAGCAUUACUGUAGCAACCAUCGACAUCAAUAUUGAAUUUUAAUACACGAGGUACGAAAAUAUCAGAUUGCAUUGAAUCGUGAAAGCAGAAGAGUGGUCCAAGAAGGUGGAAAUUCGAAAUGAAGAUGGAACAUCAUUAGCUACUCCUCUUGCGUUCAUUAUGUGAUUCAGAAUACCUAGGAAAUGCAAAAGGAAAAAGAACAUUUGUGUUUUUCCGACGAAAUUUGGAAAAAUCAAUAUGGCAUUGUUUUAUAAAGCUUGGAACUGUGGUACGAGGAAAUGGGAGGGAUUUACCUUCUUCAAAGGAUCCAAACGUGAGCGGCUUUAGCUGUAGGCUAUAAGCGACGGUACUCAGAUCGAUUUGUCGACGUUCCACGCAGGGCCAGGAUCAAAUGGGAAUUGAAAUGAAACUGAGGGAAGUAUAUCAUACAUAAUAAUUUAACAUACAGGGACGAUCAAAGGAUUCACCGUUUUUGGAAGUAAUAACGUUAACAGGGAAAUACUUUUAAAUUAUACGUGAAAUUGAAAAUCCACGUUCACGUGAUUUUUAUUCCAUCGAUGCAAAUUAAGUAAGCAUUCGAUAUUAUUAAGAAAGGAGAAAUGCUGAAUUCUGUAUUUGAUAUUAUUUCUCAUAACAUUCAUGACAUGUACUUAAAGAAUAUUCGUAAUAUUUAAUUAGCGUUUUUCUUAAAUACUGAAAUUUGGACGAAGAAUUCGGUAACACAAAGUAUCUGUUUUUAAUACGUUCUCCCAUACUUAUCGAGAAAUACCUUCGUUUUAAACCUUUCGGUAUUAUCUCCCUCAAUCUGCGGGUGCUCUAGUGCACGACUAUCUGCGGCGGUUCGAGUAGCCGGGGAUGAGUGAGCGGUCCUGUGUGCGUGUAUGCGGACAACCCCUAUUUUACCUUCAUAUAAUUGGAGAUUAGCUCUAUAAUUCCAUUACCUAUUUAGAUUUAUCGUUUGAUAGCACGAUUACUUAUUUUGCAGAGUAGUGGAUUAUUUUCUUUGGAACAAAUUGAUUUGGAACAUAAUAUACGAAAUAUUAGAUAAUUAGGAUUAUUUUUUUGCAUUCUUCAAUAGGGAGUAAAUUUCUAGGAAAAUGUUUCGGUUCAUAUAGAAAAAUUAAAUCAGUCGUGGUACAUUGACGUCCAAAUUAUCCAGAUAACUGCAUGAUACAGCUAAAUGGAUAAUUGAAUUAUACCGCUAAUCUUAUUAUCGAAUUGUCUGCUUCGUUUGAUGAGAGGGAAACUCAUAAAAAAAUACAUUUCUUGUUUUUAAAAUAAGAGAAGUGAUGUACGUAGAAACGCCCACUUAUUCCCGUCCACUUGAGCAGCACUUGAAAAGCGCGCACGGAGAGGAAUAACAAUGCAUCGUUUAAUAUCAUGGUGCUUGACGAUAGGUACGAGGGAAGGUAUUGCGUACGCGUAAAUCGUUAAAUUCCGAUCAAUACUCGUUAACAGGGAAAUUUGUAGACAUGAAGGAUCAUAUAUUUUUGCAAAAAAGAGCAAAAUUUUGUCCUUUAUAAUUUUUCACGAUGUCUAUGAUAAAUGUUGAAUCAAUUCUUUUCCAACAUUAUCAUCCCUCGCGUUAUGUAUGAGAUCUCUCCGUUUUCUUGUUGGAUGUCAUCACUGUCACUUCUAUCGUUUUCUUCCGAAUUAAUAUUCAUUUUUUCUAACCGUGUAAAUGGAAUUUCUCUUCGGUAUUACUUAUAGCACGAAACUCACUCGUGUUUGGAAAUUUUGGAUUUUCUCUUAAUGAAAAAGAAAUAAGUAAGUAAACGGGUUGGUAGUCUGAAAUUGUAUAUUACCAAAUCACGAAAUGAUACAUAACAAUAAUAUAAUACUUUCCUGGUUUCCUGACUAAUUUAGUCGAGGGAUCUAUUUAUACUACUCGAAGUUUCAAUACGAAGUGAGCUCAGCUUUGAAAAUCUCUUUCCUGAGUUUUAUGAAUACUUGUUUACUUCAUCAAAUAUCACUAUAUCGUACGAGGCAUACUCAUGUACUAUUACAAACAAAUCCUUUUCAUCGCUCUCUUUAAGCAGGCUGGAUAAGCAUCCAGAUCGUUGUGAACGUACUUCUUCUUCAUAAAACCGAUUGUUUUCGUACGUCCUCGUAAUUUGAUUAUUUCGUUAGUAACGAAUUCAAUUGUUCUCUCGGAGGUGAAAUACGUGAAAGAGAAGGUAAUAUUAGGUGAGAAAGAAAUACGAAGAAAGAUAUUGUCCGAAUACAAGUUUUUUAUCAUUAUGCAAUAACGAAAAUGAAUUUUUCGAUAACUUGAGCAAUAUUCAUUUGUUUACAAGAAAAGAAGGUAAUAUUUGGAAAAAAUGUUUUCAAGCAAAAUGGAAGUAGAUAUAACUUCCGAACAUGAGAAAUGCUUUCACGACAGUCUGAGCUCUUCUCUGAUCCGCUGAAGGAGGGUUGUAAGAAGAACUUGUAUAUAUAGUGAUAUUUGAUGAAGCAAACAACCGAUCCUAAAACUGGAGAAAGAGAUUGUCAAAGCUGAAACGAGUUCUUAUUAAAACUUGUAGUAGUAUAAAUAGGUCCCUCGACUAAUUAAUCAAAAAACCAGGAAAGUAUUAUUUUUUUGUUAUGUAUCAUUUCGUGAUUUCGUAAAAUGCAAUUAUCUCCAUUUUAUUUAUUUAUCUAUUUUUUUUUCUUCUUUUUUUCUUUUUUUCUUUCUUUCUUUCUUUUAUUAAGAGAAAGGCAAAGUGCCCAAAUACGCACAAGUCUCAUGAUAUAAGAUAUAAGUAGUGAAGAAGAAUGUCAGAUAGGCAUUCAUACAGUCACGUUAGAAAAAAUAAAUAUGAAUUCGGAAGAAUACAACAGUAGGGAUAGUUAUAUCAUUUAGCAAGGAAACGAAGAGAUCUCAUUGAUGAAAGUGAUGAAAAUGUUGUAAAAGAAUUGCUUGAAAACUAAUCAUAGAUUUCGUAAAAACUAAUAAGUACUUUUAAAAUAUAUACUCUGAUGUGAGUCGUUGGACCACGUCUGCGCCAAUAAAGUUCCAUCGAUUUGUUGAGAGGUAACGACCGAAAGGACUCAGUGUAGAAAUGAUUAUUACGUUAUACGCACAUUAAUUGCUUACUCGGACGGAAAGGUCGAAAAUGAAGUUAAUUAAGGGGAAAUGAACUUCUCUUUUAUUAUUGAACAAAUAUCUUUGAAUUCGACAUGUUACUUUUCUCUCUUUUUUUUUUCUCUCUUUCUUUACACUUUAUAAUCUGAAAUAAACUAAUGAAUGUUGACUAUUAAUUUUGUUUUUAUUUGUUUGCUUAAAAUUGACUAUCAAUAAGAAUUAAUUUCUCCUUUUUUUUAGCUCUUGAAACUAUCAUUUCUUUUCGUUUAUUACUCGAUAAUAAGGUAUACAGAUUCAGAGAAAAUCUUUCGCCAUAUUCAUUUCUUUUUUUUUUCGUUGUAUCAUCUUUUUCUCUAUUACGUAUCUCAUUUGAAUGCGCUUUACGCAAGCCAAUUUAAAUUUCCUGUUAAAAUUUCCCGAAAGGGCUAAAAAUUCGGAAAAAUAUACGGGUUGGGAGGAAAUGAAUUUCUCGAUCAAUUCCUUUUAAUUCGACAUAAUAUCAUUCGUUUGAAUAGCCGUACGACUAGACGAAAUAUAUCUUUUCCAAAUGAUCUAUAGAUGAGGAGCUUUAGCUAGAGGGAAUAAUCGAUUCGAAUCGAAACGGCCGUUGAGGGGAUGUCCGUUGACAUUGCAUGUGGAACAUAAAUCAAAGUAGAAUUGAGAUGGAAUUGAGAAAAGUUUAUCUUUAUGGUAUAUUCUAUAUUUAGUAAAAUAUAUUUUAUAUAGUAAAAUAAUAUUUGUAAUUCCCAAAUGCAUUAUUCAAAUGAUUUAUGUUCUCAGUAAGCGUAUAAUAUAACAUUGAUAUGAUGCAUCGCCUAACAUAGUAGAAAUCUAUCUUACUUUUCGACUUACCGAUCGACAUGGCUGAAAGCAUAAAUUAUAAAUGUUUUAGGAAGAUAGCCUUGCCAUGAAAUAAUCUUUCCUUCUCAAUAGAAUCUUCUGAUUCUACUUUCUUGGUAAUGUCAAUAUUCUCUUUACGAAAAAUAAAUAAAUUUGAAUAACCAAAUACCAAAAAAAGGUCACUCCCCCAAAAGGGGAUAGACAUAAUUAGAUAUUACAAAGUAAAAUGAUCGAAAGGAUAUGAAUAUGCAGAAUGAUUCAUAGGAGGAAACAAAGGCAGAGAAAUAAUCAAAAAGAAAAGUAUCAUAAUAAUAAAAAAAAAUUAUUAUCUACGAUAGUUUGGAUUUAAUAAUAAAAAGAGUAGAAAAAAUGAGUAGGAAAAAUAGUAGAAAUAAAUUUAUUAAAUAUUUUAAUCUAUCGCGUUAAAUCUAUCUAUAUAUUAAUCUAUCGUAUUUAUUGGAAUGCAUUACAAGAUGUUGAUCCUCAAUCUUGUAGGCUUCAAUAUAAAUUCUCGCAAGACUCAAAUGAAAGAAAAUCCAAAAUAAUAUAUAAGCCCCCGAUCAGCCGCGAUAAUCGAAUGUGCAUCAUACGUAUCAAUUUAAACAAGAUGCUCUCAUAUUUGAAUUUUUUUAUUUCGAUCCAUCAACCUGAAUGUUUAGUCAAGGGUAAUUUUUUUAUACAGUCAGUUGCAAAAGACGUAAUUAUUAAUAGAAGGAAAUAGAACUAUCUUCGUUAGUCAUUUUUAAGUUCAUUGCAUAUUGUUUUUCAUUUGAGUCUUCCUAGAAUUUGCAUAGAUGCCUACAAGAUUGAGGAUCAACAUCUUGUAAUGCAUUCCAAUGAUUACGAUAGAUUGAUAUAUAGAUUAGAUAUUUAUGACAAGUUUUCUUCUUCUACAACACUUCAUUGCUUUUUGUUUCUAUUAGUAGAAAAUUAUAUAAAAUAAAAUAUAAUAUAAUUAUAAUUAUAUAAAGAAGUUUCCUUUAUAAUACACGGACGUAUAUAUCAUUAGGAUCACAAGUGUUACAGUUCUCUGGUUUUAUGCAACUUGAUAUGGGAAACCAAUUUCUAUGGCCAUUGUCUCCAAAGCAAUAAGAAUAUGGUACGAUCAAAUUAGAAAUUUAAAGCAGAAUUUUCACAAAUUUUUCUAUUAUAAUUAUUACUCGCCGCUAAUCAAGAAAAUGAAAAAUUACUUACAGCAGAUUGCCAGGAAUAGAAUAUACUCGUCGUAGUCAUUAAUAUUCCCCUUAAAUGGUUCCUUGAAUUAUGUGCUCGACUCUCCUGGACGUGUAUAUUUCUAUCCUCUUGAUAUUUUAUUCUGUUAAACACACUUCAGAGUUUUCUGAAAAUAACAAAAAUGUUCAAUUAAUCUUUUAUUAUAUUUUCUCAGCAUCCUAAUUAUUUAUUUAAAAAUUAGGAUCCAUAUUCAGAAUUUUAUUUUUAUCAGAAAAAAUGUCAGAAUCUCCUUAAAACAUUCUGAAAUGAACUUUCGUUUCAAGCAAAUGGAUGAAAAAUAAAAACUAAUUGGUUUGAUCGCAAAAGCAAACGAAACCGGUUCGGUUGCGGAUAUGUGUCUCUCGUAGACAACUCGUCUCUACGUUCGUCUCUUUGUAUUCUUAUCAUGGACUCAUGCAUCUCUAUUCUAAUUGAUUAGCUGCCCGGCAAACAAGCAAUUACUAGUUUCAGACAAGUAUUAAAGAGGGAUAUUAAUGGCUACGACGAGUAUAUUCUAUUCCUGGCAAACCACUUAGUUUGUUGGACUCGUCAACAGGUAGUAUCAUUGAGACAGGAAAUACGGAAUAAUUUCGCGAAAUAUCAAGCACAUGUGCAACAGUUGGCUCCAUAUACGAUUAUCCGAUUGGUUCGUAUAAAUGUCUAAAAUGAAGUAUCCUAAUUCCGAUAAUCCUAAUUACGCUUUCUCCUCGGUUUAAUUUUAAACAAUAAUUCAAAAUUAUGCAACAAGUAAAAUAUCAAUCACUGGUAAAAUAUAAUAUCUAAUAAUAGUAAAAAUAAGUUAACCAUAGCAUGAAAAAAUAGUAAGAAACUACGCAAUUUUUUAUAAUCUACUAUAAAACAAUAUAUCGUAGUAUUGGAUAUGAACUUGUGUAAAAUAGGGCAUAACAUAACGUUACUAAUAUAAACUCAUAGACACAUAUAUAAAAUUAUCCUAUUGUCUAUAACAUACAAUAUAAAGAACACAAUCUGAUGAAAAUGAAUCUUCGCGUUAGUUAUUCAGAAAUUUAAAUAAGGUGCAACUUAUCAAGAACAUAAAGAAAAAUACUAGCGAAUCCCAUUAUCGAAUCCAGUUAUGCAGCCAAUGUUCAGGUACUACGGUUUAUAUACUAAUCAUCUUUUCUUUCUUAGAGUUUUGUCUGGACACGAUGUUGCCUCGAUUAAAAAUAAAUUACUCCCAGUUUUGUCGAUUA